GAUGAACGCUGGCGGCGUGCCUAAUACAUGCCAGUCGAGCGAACAGACGAGGAGCUUGCUCCUCUGACGUUAGCGGCGGACGGGUGAGUAACACGUGGAUAACCUACCUAUAAGACUGGGAUAACUUCGGGACACCGGAGCUAAUACCGGAUAAUAUAUUGAACCGCAUGGUUCAAUAGUGAAAGACGGUUUUGCUGUCACUUAUAGAUGGAUCCGCGCCGCAUUAGCUAGUUGGUAAGGUAACGGCUUACCAAGGCAACGAUGCGUAGCCGACCUGAGAGGGUGAUCGGCCACACUGGAACUGAGACACGGUCCAGACUCCUACGGGAGGCAGCAGUAGGGAAUCUUCCGCAAUGGGCGAAAGCCUGACGGAGCAACGCCGCGUGAGUGAUGAAGGUCUUCGGAUCGUAAAACUCUGUUAUUAGGGAAGAACAAAUGUGUAAGUAACUAUGCACGUCUUGACGGUACCUAAUCAGAAAGCCACGGCUAACUACGUG
rnacentral:rRNA from 1 species